AUGUGUGAUUUAAAAAAGUCAGUCAGUGCUGCUGCCGAGUGCUGUAUGCAAUGGGAGACUUCGCAUGAGAAUAUCGCAGUGUCCUCCCCCGCGCUGUUCACUGGCUUUGGAACCAGGUGACGUCUGCUUCUUCUCCAGGUGUGAAAUGAUCGUGAAAGGUCUCAAUCCAGGCUGUCCAGAUGGCCGUGAGGGCCAAACUAGAGACGCUCCAGAGAAAGAACUUCCAGGACUACUCCAGAAAGUGGCCAGAACCCUGGAGAACCUGUGUUCAAGAUUUGGGCAGAAUACAGCAGAGAAGAAGCAAAGUGCCUGAAAUCUGGUCGGACUACCUGCAUUCAGAUGCGUGACUUUGCACAUGCACCAGCUGGACUUAAUCACUAUUUCUGUAGUCAGCUGAUUUAAGAGCACAUAGACCAACCCUUCUCAUGUAAUGCCUAGUGGUGACAGAGAUUUUCAGACUACACAGACAGCAGACAGCAGGGUCAAGAUAUAAAAGAGCAACAAAGAAACAGGAGCAGGAAUAUCCUGCUGAGGGCACAGAGGAGCCCACGUACCAGUGUACCUGAUGAAAUCAGCCUUCCAGACACAGUCAUUGUUAUAGUACCUGUCAGAAAGGGAUGAGCAUAUGCUUCAGCUGGAGUUUUUAAAGACCCAAAGAGAAAUGUUGAUGAAAACAACAAGCCACCAUGUACAGCAUAUUCCUUCAAAGCAGAUGCAGGUCAUGCUUCAAUGUCAAUGUAUAAAAAUGUCCUGUCCAUCACACGGUGCUCUGACAUAGCUUUUGUUGUACUCUUCUGGGCCUUGUCAUGUUACUAAACCAAGUAACCUCUUUCAGGAAGAUCAAAGAUUUCUUGCACAUGAACAUGAACUAAUGUUGACAAAAUCACUUGAAAGAAAUUUUUGAUGUGCAAGUUCAGACUGAUGCAUCUUGUCUUUCCAACUUCAAAAGAGACAGAGAGAAGACAGCUCAUCAGCACUCAAAAUUCACUAAGAACUUGUUUCAUCAUUCCAUAUAUAAUAUAUUCUUUGUAUUUUUCUUCAUUUACGUAGUAUAUGUGAUAAGGUAGUUACUAAAGAGAACACAGAAAAGAAUCAGGCUAACUGUGGGGAGUGGCUGAACUGGAUAUUGACUGCACACUCAUGGCUAGAGCAAAGCUAGUCCAGCAGGUGUUCCGCCCUGGUGUUCCUCCCUGUUAACUGCAGCACCGAUAGCUCUGAGAAUGUUUCGUAUUCAAUCUUAUCAGCAAAAUGCUGUGACCUUGCACUUUGUGCCCCGUCAUGUACUCCCCACUCUUUCUACUGUGUAUAAAUAAAGAUGCAAACCAUGCUGGGUUGUUAGUGUUUCUCUCUUAGAGAAGUCAGGUCCACCUGGUCCUAGCUUUCCUUUCAAUAUGUACCCAAUUUUUUUCUUAAUCUUCCAUCACCCCCUCUCAGUACCCCACUGGCUGUGGGUCAUGGAUCUUGGUGCCCCAACGUGAGACCUGAGCACAAGAGAACACAGUAAGAUGAGA